rnacentral:misc_RNA from 1 species
GCAAACUUGGUCAUUUAGAGGAAGUAAAAGUCGUAACAAGGUUUCCGUAGGUGAACCUGCGGAAGGAUCAUUAAUGAGUUUUGAAAUCGGGAGUCCUGUUGCUGGUGCGGAGACGCACAUCGUGCACGGCUUCUGUGCUCAAUCCACUCAAACACACCUCUGUGCACCUUAGCUUAGCGAAGCGAGUAGUCUUAUAUUUCUUUGCCGGCUGUAUGUGGGACGGAUAGUGAGUAAGCUAGUAAAGUGAAGACGCACUUGUGUGUGUUAGUAGCUUGAAAGUGAAAGCGGUCUGUUGACUUGGCCGGUGAGGAGAGUGAGGGCGAAAGCUUUUGAGCUUUUCAUAAACACUUUGUAUGUCUUGUAGAAUGAGUAGCUCCUUGUGAGCGAAAUAAAUACAACUUUCAACAACGGAUCUCUUGGCUCUCGCAUCGAUGAAGAACGCAGC